UAACCAACUUAUGAACAUACU
rnacentral:piRNA from 1 species